rnacentral:rRNA from 1 species
GAGGCACCGGAGCUGUCGCUGACCUUAUAAAAGUCGUGCACGCCCCAAAGGUGUCCUCACAUACAUCCAUCUCACCUUUGUGCAUCACCGCGUAAGCUCCGUACCCAACGGGCUUGCGUUCUUUUUCACAAACACGUCAUGUGUAGAAUGUUUCUUUUUGCGAUUUAGUACGCAAUCUAUACAACUUUCAGCAACGGAUCUCUUGGCUCUCGCAUCGAUGAAGAACGCAGCGAAAUGCGAUACGUAAUGUGAAUUGCAGAAUUCAGUGAAUCAUCGAAUCUUUGAACGCACCUUGCGCCCCUUGGCAUUCCGAGGGGCACACCCGUUUGAGUGUCGUGAAAUCCUCAACCUUCACCCUUUCUUUGAUCGGAGGAAGGCUUGGACUUUGGAGGCUACUGCUGGUCUCUUUCACUUGAAGCCAGCUCCUCUUAAACAGAUUAGCAGGGUCCCUUUUUGCCGAUCCUUGGACGUGAUAAGCCACUUCUACGUCCCUAGGUUUUGGUCUUGCCUUGCUCUUAGUCGCCGUUUUUCGGGGGGGACUUUUAAACUCACGUGAAACCUUGACCUCAAAUCGGGUGAGACUACCCGCUGAACUUAAGCAUAUCAAUAAGCGGAGG